GUAUAGGAUAUGACACAAUCUAGUACUACAAAUCUGAAUAUCAUAUACUACGAAUCCAAACAUAGGUAUGUUUAUAUCUGUAAUACUAGAACAUGUCACAUCAUAUAAUG
rnacentral:misc_RNA from 1 species